ACUGGGCGUAAAGCGGGCGUAGGCGGCUCGCCAAGUCAGAUGUGAAAUCUCCCGGCUCAACUGGGAGGGUGCAUUUGAUACUGAUGGGCUAGAGUGCAGCAGANGNAGAUGGAAUUCCCGGUGUAGUGGUGAAAUGCGUAGAUAUCGGGAGGAACACUAGUGGCGAAGGCGGUCUCCUGGGAUGNAACUGACACUGAGGNCCGAAGGCGUGGGUAGCAAACAGGAUUAGAUACCCUGGUAGUCCACGCAGUAAACGAUGGAUACUAGGUAUGGGGAGUAUCGACCCUCUCCGUGCCGAAGCUAACGCUUUAAGUAUCCCGCCUGGGGAGUACGGUCGCAAGACUAAAACUCAAAGGAAUUGACGGGNGCCCGCACAAGCAGCGGAGCGUGUGGUUUAAUUCGAUGCAACACGAAGAACCUUACCAGGGCUUGACAUGUUGGAAGUAGUGAACCGAAAGGGGAACGAACUGUUAAGUCAGUAGCCAUCACAGGUGCUGCAUGGCUGUCGUCAGCUCGUGCCGUGAGGUGUCGGGUUAAGUCCCAUAACGAGCGCAACCCCUNUUGCCAGUUAAUUUCUCUGGCGAGACUGCCCCGCAAAACGGGGAGGAAGGCGGGGAUGACGUCAAGUCAGUAUGGCCUUUAUGCCUUGGGCCACACACACGCUACAAUGGGUGGUACAACAGGUUGCAAUGGAGUGAUCCGGAGCUAAUCCUAAAAAACCAUCCUCAGUUCGGAUUGCAGGCUGAAAUUCGCCUGCAUGAAGUUGGAGUUGCUAGUAACCGUGCAUCAGCUUGGCACGGUGAAUACGUUCUCGGGCAUUGUACACACCGCCCGUCACGUCAUGAAAGUCGGCAACACCUGAAGCCGAUGAGCUAACCCGCAAGGGAGGCAGUUGUCUAGGGUGGGGUCGGUGAUUGGGACGAAGUCGUAACAAGGUAGCCGUAGCGGAAGCUGCGGCUG
rnacentral:rRNA from 1 species